rnacentral:rRNA from 1 species
UACGUAGGCAGCAAGCGUUGUUCGGAGUUACUGGGCGUAAAGGGUGUGUAGGCGGUUAUUUAAGUUUGGUGUGAAAUCUCCCGGCUCAACCGGGAGGGUGCGCCGAAUACUGAAUGACUUGGAGUGCGGGAGAGGAAAGUGGAAUUCCUGGUGUAGCGGUGAAAUGCGUAGAUAUCAGGAGGAACACCCGUGGCGAAGGCGGCUUCCUGGGGCCAUCCUGACACUGAGAAGCGAAAGCUAGGGGAGCGAACGGG